GACGAACGCUGGCGGCGUGCUUAACACAUGCAAGUCGAACGAGGUCCAACCAGUGGCAACACUGGGGAAAACCUAGUGGCGAACGGGUGAGUAACACGUGAGAAACCUACCCUGAAGACUGGGAUAAGCCCCCGAAAGGGGGUCUAAUACCGGAUACCCCCUCCAUGUCGCAUGGCGAGGAGAGGAAAGGUCAGCCGCUUCAGGACGGUCUCGCGGUCUAUCAGCUUGUUGGUGAGGUAACGGCUCACCAAGGCGACGACGGAUAGCUGGUCUGAGAGGACGAUCAGCCACACUGGGACUGAGACACGGCCCAGACUCCUACGGGAGGCAGCAGUGGGGAAUCUUGCGCAAUGGGCGAAAGCCUGACGCAGCAACGCCGCGUGCGGGAUGAAGGCCUUCGGGUUGUAAACCGCUUUCAGUAGGGACGAAAACAGACGGUACCUACAGAAGAAGCACCGGCCAACUACGUGCCAGCCGCCGCCGUAAAAC
rnacentral:rRNA from 1 species